GGAGACGGUGUCCAUCAGCACGAAGUCCGCCUUGCCGAACUCCAGGCUCUCCUGCUCCGCCAUGGUGCCGGCGUCCGGGCUCAGGGAAUCUAGAUGGGCUCCAUCUCGGUGGCUGAAUUUGAGAUGAGUAAACCACCCCAGGGACCCUGCUCAAGGACUGCUUCUGCUGCCAACAACCCACCCUGGCCAAGAGAGAGAAGAAGGCAUUUUGAUCGCCGCCCAAGGGAGCACCUCUGCCAUCGAAAAGCUGCCUCAACCCCCGGCAUCGGCAGAGCCACAGCCUGACUACCACUAGCAGCUCACCUUCUUCCAAAGACACCUCUCUGGAUCUCAGUGCCCUCAUUCGUGGAAUAAGACCUCGGGGCUAGAUCCUUUCCAAGCUAACUUCUGCUCCUGCCUUCGAUCUCAGCCUCAACAUCAUUUUCUCUAAGAAGCCUUCCCUGAUCCCCUAAGCCAGGCUUGGCCGUCCCUCCUCUGUGUUCCCACAGCAUCCUGGAAGUGUCAUCUCUGUGACAGCACUGAAUGCACUUGAGCCUGUUGACCACAUCUCUUAUUAGACUGUCAGGGCCAUGAGGGCUGGAAGCUGUGUCUGUUCUGUUCUUGGAUAUAACUCCGGCACCCAGUGGCACAGCGCCUAGGGUGUGAAGCUCUGAAGAAACACUCGCUCUAUACAUGAAUACGGAAUGGUCUGUGACUCAAUGGCUUUUGUCAUGUGAGGUUGUAAAUCCACCCCCCUUGGUGGAGUUUCUGCAUUAAAAUCAGUCUUUGUGUGGCAUGUAUCUCAUACUCAUCUCCUGUCCCUGGAAGCAGCUCUCAGGGCUGUGUUCACAUUUCCCCUG